rnacentral:rRNA from 1 species
AUGGCACCGAGGCUGGAGCGCGGCGGCAGCGGCUUCCAUCUCCCGAACUCCGAGCUGGAGGACUCCCUCUUCCUCCGCGCCCUCAUUUCCGUCGUAAACGGAGACGCCGUCGUCCCCACGCUGCAUCUCGAGCCGUCGUCCACGCCGCACUUUGCCGCUGCAGCUCCUGCGCGCGCCAGCUGCGGCGUGGACGGGUGUCUUGGCUGCGUGUUCGUUGCUGCGGCGGCAACGACCAGCUCGAGCAGCGAGGGCGAAGGGUGCUUCGCCGCGAGCUUCGUAAUGGACGGCGGCGUGGGGAGGAUCACGCGCAGGAGGAGGCGGAGCAAGUUCAGGGGCGUGAGGCAGCGGUCGUGGGGGAAGUGGGCGGCGGAGAUCCGCGACCCGCACCGCGCCGUCCGCAAGUGGCUUGGCACCUUCGACACCGCCGUGGAUCCCGCCCGCGCCUACGAUCUCGCGGCGCUCGAGUUCCGUGGCCACCGCGCCAUACUCAACUUCCCGGCCGCGGCCGCGUCGUCGUCGGCGGCUUCUGUUUCUGAUUCGUCUUGGGUGGCUGCGCAGUCGUAG